rnacentral:rRNA from 1 species
UACGAAGGGGGCUAGCGUUGCUCGGAAUUACUGGGCGUAAAGGGCGCGUAGGCGGAUAUCUAAGUUGGGGGUGAAAUCCCGGGGCUCAACCUCGGAAUUGCCUUCAAAACUGGAUAUCUUGAGUUCGGGAGAGGUGAGUGGAACUCCGAGUGUAGAGGUGAAAUUCGUAGAUAUUCGGAAGAACACCAGUGGCGAAGGCGGGUCGUCUGGGCCGAGUACUGACGCUGAGGAGCGAAAGC